CCGGCUGGAGCCUGCCAUGGGGCUCAGGCUCCUCUGUGGCGUGGCCUUUUGUUUCCUGGGAGUAGGCUUUGUGAACGCACAAGUAACCCAAACCCCGAGAUACCUCAUCAAAAAAGUAGGAGCACAAGUUUUGAUGGAAUGUUUGCAGAAUAUGGACCACGAAAGAAUGUACUGGUAUCGACAAGACCCGGGUCUGGGGCUGCAGCUCCUCCACUGGUCAUAUAAUGUUGACAGUAAGGAGAAAGGAGAUGCCCCCGAUGGGUACAGGGUCUCUAGGAAGAAGAAGAAUGCCUUCCCCCUGACCCUGGACUCCGCCAGCACCAACCAGACAUCUGUGUACUUCUGUGCCAGCAGUAAAUCCACAAGAGAGAGGUAUAAUAAUGAGCAGUACUUUGGGCCAGGGACCCGGCUCACGGUACUAGAGGACCUGAAACAGGUGAAGCCUCCCAAGGUCACAGUGUUUGAGCCAUCAGAAGCAGAGAUCUCCCGGACCCAGAAGGCCACGCUCGUGUGCCUGGCCACAGGCUUCUACCCCGACCACGUGGAGCUGAGCUGGUGGGUGAACAGGAAGCAGGUGCACGAAGGGGUCAGCACGGACCCUCAGCCCUACAAGGAAGAGCCCACCAAGAGCGCCUCCAACUACUGCCUGAGCAGCCGGCUGAGGGUCUCAGCCACCUUCUGGCACAACCCUCGGAACCACUUCCGCUGCCAAGUCCAGUUCUACGGGCUCGAGAAGGAUGAGCAGGGGGACAACCCCAAGGCCGUCACCCAGAAUGUCAGUGCUGACACCCAGGGCAAAGCCGACUGUGGCUACACUUCGGAGUCCUAUCAGCAGGGUGUCCUGUCAGCCACCAUCCUCUAUGAGAUCCUGCUGGGGAAGGCCACCCUGUAUGCUGUGCUGGUCAGCGUCCUUGUGCUGAUGGCCAAGGUCAAGAGAAAGGGUUCCUGAUACCAGCUCCAAAAGCAUACCCUGAGUUCAUAAUCCUCACCCCAGAUUCUCCGGUACAAGCUUCCUGCCUGUGUUUCUAAAAGUGUGAUUUUUCUCUCUCCACUUCUUAUCUCCUUCCUGCUGGGUUAUCUGUCCCUUCUCUCUACUUCCCUGUGGAUUGCGCUCCUCAGCCCUGAAACUGAAAUAGACUAAAACAAUAAAAAGCAUUAUGUCAAUCUUG